GACGAACGCUGGCGGCGUGCUUAACACAUGCUAGUCGAACGGAAAGGCCCCCAUCUUGGUGGGGGUGCUCGAGUGGCGAACGGGUGAGUAACACGUGGGUGAUCUGCCCUGUACUUCGGGAUAAGCUUGGGAAACUGGGUCUAAUACCGGAUAGGACCAUGGUUUAGUGUCUCAUGGUGGAAAGAUUAUUGUUUUGGUGCAGGAUGAGCUCGCGGCCUAUCAGCUUGUUGGUGGGGUAAUGGCCUACCAAGGCGUCGACGGGUAGCCGGCCUGAGAGGGUGGACGGCCACAUUGGGACUGAGAUACGGCCCAGACUCCUACGGGAGGCAGCAGUGGGGAAUAUUGCACAAUGGGCGCAAGCCUGAUGCAGCGACGCCGCGUGGGGGAUGACGGCCUUCGGGUUGUAAACUCCUUUCGUUAGGGACGAAGCCGCACUUUUUUUGGGUGUGGUGACGGUACCUUUGUUAAGAAGCACCGGCUAACUACGUG
rnacentral:rRNA from 1 species